CUUGUUGAGUGUCACAAGAGCCUUGUCAUGGAACUUACACCAUAUUUGGAGGAAACCAAGGCGCUUGUGAAUUUCCUUUGACUAUUUACUUUGCCUCGGUGCGGAGUACUCCUCAAAGUAAAACUGUUGUGUUGUGUAAGACUCGUCCAUAGGUUCUGCCUCAUUAUCUAAAUGAUGGAUUGAGGACUCAUCAUUAUUCACUCCUUCCAUCGGUACAGCUUCAUCACCUGAAGUAUAGAGGUUCUCCAUUGGUGGGCAGAACUCAAUGUUGCCACCAACUCUAAUCGAAGUGGAAGCGGGGUUUGGGAGGAGAAAAAUAGAUUGUCCUGCUGUGGGGUGAUCGAACCUAUACUUAUAUAGGCUAUUCUUCUACUGUGACCAAAAACUCUUGGAAUUGAUAAGGUGUUGCAUAUCAAUCCAUCUCGGAGGAAUAGACUUUGAAUGUAGAGGUACAUUGCAUGCUCUCAGAAUUGGGGUCCCAACUCCUCCCACAACCAUUCUUCCUGGUUUCUUAAGUCCCUUAGCCCAUCCUCUGUAACUCAGCAGGUGCUCGAUUAGGAAGAAUGAGACCGAAGUGUCUGUCUGAUCUCCAGCUAGAACUGUGCCAUCUGAUGCUAAACCAAGCAGCUCUUGAAGCGCUGUCUCCAUCAGCUCUAGUUCUCCAUUGACGAAGGUUCCAUUCCUUUCUCUUGCAAAUAGCACACUAGCCAAGGACCUAUGAAAGUAUCUAACCACCGGACUCCUUAUCUCGUUGCUCUUGGUACUAGAGGAUGAAAAUCCAUGCUUAGACCCAAGUGUGGCCCAGAAUGACUGAAGCUCUCUCUUGUCAAAACGAUGACUUGUGACUUUUCCGCUUGGAAAUUCAUACAUCAGCUCGGGAUGCUCUAUUGGAAGCCGAUACUCUACGUCAUACACACAGAACUCCAAGUAUCCCAAAAUUCCGUCUGGCCUGAUUUCAUCGUCCUCUGACUCUCCAUAUAAGAACAAUUCCAUGGAUGAAAGAAACUGGAUGGUCUCUUCCUCAUACGCCUCCAUUGGCUGAAACAUGUGAAUAUUCAGGUUGCAUUGCUUAAACAUAUAGUCUACAUCAUCAUAGAUGUCGAGUCUCUCCAUGGUCUCAGGAUGAGGGUAUCGAGUUCCCAAAAACUCAGCAGCUUGUAGUACUCAUUUUGAGUUGCACACUUCUUUGAUUCAAAAUCAUCAUCGCCUCCUUUCUCUGUUUGAUCAUCUUCCUCUGGUGAAGCCAUUUCUUCCUCGGAGUCUUCAUCUACCAGCUCCAACCUCCUCCCCACAGGCUUCUUCCCUCGAGUGAUAUAUGCCUUGUUCCUCGAGAAUUCCCUUGUAGAGGACUUACUCGACCUUCGGGAUCGAGUAUUUCCAGCUGGAGAGCUGAAGGUCUCCUCUUCUUGCAUCACUUCCUCCUCUUGGCUCGAUUCACUAUGAUCGAUCUCGAAACUUGCUUGUUCUCUCCUGCUCGACCCCAAGGGUGAUAGUUCAGAAGGUCCUCGAGCUGCUGCAUGCGAAGAAGGUGUUUGGUACCUCUUCGAUGGGGAGAGAGCUUUGUUCCGAAUCCUUGACAAAAGCGAGCGCCUGUUCAUCAUCAAGAACUAAGGUGGGAGAAACUCAAAACUAAAAUUCAGUAGAUUAGGAGAUUGAAUGAUGGAGGAAACAAAUGAAUUUGUGAAAAGUUUUUGAUAAGAAAGUGAAGUGAAGGAGAUAAAGAGAGAAUUGUAAGGAUUCGAGAAUGCUUUGGUAUGGGAGGUGGAGAGAUGAGGUUGUUGAGUUCGGGAAUUGCAAUGGGGGGACCAAAGUGAUUAUGGGAGG
rnacentral:sRNA from 1 species